UACGGGGGGGGGCAAGCGUUGUUCGGAAUUACUGGGCGUAAAGGGCGCGUAGGCGGUCAGACCAAGUCGCGUGUGAAAUGCCAGGGCUUAACUCUGGCACGCUCGCGCGAUACUGGUCGGCUAGAGUGUGGAAGAGGAUGCUGGAAUUCCCGGUGUAGCGGUGAAAUGCGUAGAUAUCGGGAGGAAUACCGGUGGCGAAGGCGGCAUCCUGGACCGGCAUUGACGCUGAAAAGCGAAAGCUAGGGGAGCAAACGGG
rnacentral:rRNA from 1 species